rnacentral:rRNA from 1 species
GACGAACCGUGCGAACGUUGUUCGGAAUCACUGGGCUUAAAGGGCGCGUAGGCGGGCGCUCAAGUCAGGGGUGAAAUCUUUCGGCUCAACCGGAAAAGUGCCCCUGAUACUGAGUGUCUCGAGGAAGGUAGGGGCAGAUGGAACUUCUGGUGGAGCGGUGAAAUGCGUAGAUAUCAGAAGGAACGCCGGUGGCGAAAGCGAUCUGCUGGACCUUUACUGACGCUGAGGCGCGAAAGCCAGGGGAGCAAACGGG